UCCUUUUUAAAUUACUGAAGGAAAAAUUAGCUUUAGUGUAGAUUAUAUAUGUGCUUUAAUGCUUACAGCAUGGUUCUAAUUUAUGUUUACUUUUCCUACUUCUAGGGCUGAGCUUCCCCUUUUGGUAGCAAGAAAAUAUUAUACAGAAAGGGUAUUAGGUUCAUUCGAUCUAACUGGAAGAUAUAACAUUCUUGCUUGAUGCAUUUGGGGGCUGGUACUCCAUUGUUUUGGACAAUACUUCUACCAUUACUUUGACGCAUUUCAGCUGGGAAGGGCACAUGUCUACAUGGCUUUUCUUCGUUGAAUGUGAAGAAGUUCUAGGCAAUGAAAACCAUGUGAAGAACCAGAAACACUACUAGAGGGUUAAGUUGUGGGUUUGCUUUUAGGAACGAGGCUCCAGCGAGAGAAUAUGAGCCCAUGAGUUCGUCGUAUAAUAUGUAUGAUUAAACAACUCUCUCCUUUUAUGGGAAUGGACAUGACAAUUAUGAUGAUGCUGUUGUUCCUUUGAAAAGGAAGAGCCAUGAGUCCGUCGUGUAAUAUGUAUGAUUAAACAACUCUCCUUUUAUGGGAAUGGACAUGAUGAUUGUGAUGAUGAUGUUGUUCCUUUGAAAAGGUUGUGACAAUGGAA